UCAGUCAUAGGUUAAAUUUGAAACUGUCAAUUUGUGGUGUUGAUGAUUUGUUUUUUCAAUGAUUGAA
rnacentral:tRNA from 1 species